AACGAACACUGGCGGCAGGCUUAACACAUGCAAGUCGAGCGCCCCGCAAGGGGAGCGGCAGACGGGUGAGUAACGCGUGGGAAUCUACCCAUCUCUACGGAAUAACGCAUGGAAACGUGUGCUAAUACCGUAUACGUCCUUCGGGAGAAAGAUUUAUCGGAGAUGGAUGAGCCCGCGUUGGAUUAGCUAGUUGGUGGGGUAAAGGCCUACCAAGGCGACGAUCCAUAGCUGGUCUGAGAGGAUGAUCAGCCACACUGGGACUGAGACACGGCCCAGACUCCUACGGGAGGCAGCAGCGGGGAAUAUUGGACAAUGGGCGCAAGCCUGAUCCAGCCAUGCCGCGUGAGUGAUGAAGGCCCUAGGGUUGUAAAGCUCUUUCACCGGUGAAGAUAAUGACGGUAACCGGAGAAGAAGCCCCGGCUAACUUCGUGCCAGCCGCCGCAGUAAAAC
rnacentral:rRNA from 1 species